GUGCUCGCUUCAGCAGCAUAUAUACUAAAAUUGGAACGAUACAGAGAAAAUUAGUAUGGCCCCUGCACAAGGAUGACACGCAAAUUUAUGAAGUGUUCCAUAUUUUU
ensembl:snRNA U6 U6 spliceosomal RNA